rnacentral:rRNA from 1 species
CAAAAACAUAGCCCUAGUAAUUAUCUAAGGUGUAACCUGCCCAGUGACCCUAAAAACAAGAUAAAAUCUUAAUAAUAGAGUUAAAAGGACGCGGUAACCUUGACCGUGAUAAUGUAGCAUAAUCACUCGCCAUUUAAUUGAUGGAUAGUAUGAAUGGUUGAACGAAUAUUCCUCUGUCUUAGAAAGAAUUAAUAUAAAUUGAAAUAAUAGUUAAGAUGCUAUUUUAGACUGUAAGACGAAAAGACCCUAUAGAGCUUAACUAUAAUCUCUUUUCACAAUAAAGAAAAGUAUUUCUUACUAAAAAGAGAUUGGUAGUUUAGUUGGGGCGACUGUCUUCUAAAACCAACGAAGACAAGCAAUGUUAAUAAAAAACUUAUUGUAUAAUUUAAAUAUUUAACAAUUACUAACGUAGGCUAUAAUGACCCGUUUUUACUUAAUAAAAAGAAAAACGAUCAAUUGAUAAAAGCUACCUUAGGGAUAACAGGAUAAUUUCAUUUUAGAGUUCCAAUCGAAAAUGAAGUUUGUCACCUC